rnacentral:hammerhead_ribozyme from 1 species
GUACUGAUGAAGAGUCCCAAACCAGUGGGACGAAACAGCUAUCCAGUAC